rnacentral:lncRNA from 7 species
GAGAAAAAAAGAAAAGAAAAAUAAGAAAAAGAGAAAAAAUGAAAAGAAAAAAGAAAAAAUGAACAAAAAAGAGUAAAAAGAGAAAAAAAGAAAAAAGAGAAAAAGAGAAAAGAAAAAGAAAAAAUGAACAAAAAAGAGAAAAGAAAAAAAGAAAAAGAAAAAGAGAAAAGAAAAAAGAAAUGAAAAAAAGAGAAAAAAGAGAAAAGAAAAAAAGAAAAAGAUAAAGAAAAAAGAAAAAAGAAAAAAAAAAGAGAAAGAAAAAUAUGAAAAAAAGAAAAAGAAAAAAAGAAAAGAAAAAACAGUAGAUGAAAAAAGAAAAAACAAAAGGAAAAACGAAUAAUGACAAGAGAAGAAAGGUAAAGAGAAAAGAAGAAAAAAGCCAAGUCAAAAAGUAAAGAAUAACUCGAAGGAAGGAGUGGAUGGCAAGAAAUACAGAGAAAGCAGUGCAUAGCACAGCAGAGCAAAGCAAGGCAAAAUAGCAGCCAAAGCCACGAGAAUCAAGAAGUCAGUGAAGAGCAGGAAAGGAAUGGAGGAAUCUGUCCAGAGCUGUGCCCCUGCUUGCCACAGGAGCUGCGCGGGAGGAGAAGAACGUGGGCCAAAAGGUAAGAGGAGCUCCUUUGGGUUCUGGGCUUGAAGCAAAGCUGAGAAGCCAUGCCCGGGAGGAGGUGUGGGUAGCUACAGGCCACCUUGCUAUCUCCCCAAGAGAUGAGGUGUGUGGGCUAGGCACCGGGCAGGAGUGCUGGCCAGAAGCAAGCAUCUCUGUGGAGGAAGGCAAAGGGCGGAGGAGGUUCAAGGGUAGCU